rnacentral:rRNA from 1 species
UGCGUAGGCGGCCCUAUAAGUAUGGUGUGAAGUCUCCCGGCUUAACUGGGAGGGUGCGCUAUAGACUGUGGGGCUGGAGUGUGGGAGAGGAAAGUGGAAUUCCUGGUGUAGCGGUGAAAUGCGUAGAUAUCAGGAGGAACACCGGUGGUGUAAACGGCUUUCUGGACCAUAACUGACGCUGAGGCACGAAAGCGUGGGUAGCAAACAGGAUUAGAUACCCUGGUAGUCCACGCCCUAAACGAUGCAUAUUUGGUGUGGGUCAUUCAGUUGAUCCGUGCCGGAGCUAACGCGUUAAAUAUGCCGCCUGGGGAGUACAGUCGCAAGGCUGAA